ACUCGUAUUCCAAAGCAGCAAUCUUCACGUCCAAAGCAGCAAUCUUCACAUUCAAAGCAGUGAUCUAACUUGGUGCAGCGGGAGCAGAUUGCUGCUUCGGAUGUGAAGAUCGCUGCUUGGGAAGACGAGAAGUC
rnacentral:pre_miRNA from 1 species